GUCACAGUAAAAGCAAGCAGCUGGAGCAAGAAACUGAUUUCAUCCUGUCCCUGUUAAGUUGAGAAAACUGUACUCCAUCAGUCCACCAUGGGUUAAGAGGGCCUUCCCAGCACUCUACACUUGGGAUAUGCAGGUCUCUUGCGGGUAGAAACUCCAUCAUUUCACCUGAAGAAAAUAAUAACUGCAUAACCACUGUGAAAACAGGCAAGAAAUCACACCUCUGAUUUCAGCAUUUUACUGAUUUGGACUGUUUUGUCCACUGCUGCUUACCAUUCUCUUGGUUACAUUUUCCUAUUUCUUCCUACAUCUAAUAAUUCUAGAAUGUGUCCUAGAUAUUGUAAAUGAACAUAGUAUCGGCUGUAAUUCUGUUUAUCUAAAAAACGUUUUUUUUUUUUUUAAAGAAAACUAAAUUGGCAGAAGUCAAACUCCAAACUUGGUGUUUUCAAGGCAGCAAAAGAAUUUCUCUGUUUAUUUCUGUUGCGUUUAGCUAGGCUUUUUUUUUUUUUUUUUUUUUUUUUGAGACAGAGUUUCACUCUUGUCGCCCAGGCAGUGCAGUGGUGCGAUCUUGGCUCACUGCAACAUCUGCCUCCCGGGUUCAAGUGAUUCUCUUGCCUCAGCCUCCCCAGUAGCUGACAGGCGCCUGCCACCAUACCCAGUUAGUUUUUGUAUUUUUAGUAGAGACGAGGUUUCUGACCAAGCUGGCCUCCAACUCCUGACCUCAGGUGAUCCAGCUGCUUCGGCCUCCCAAAGUGCUGGGAUUUACAGGCAUGAGCCACCGUGCCUAGCCUAGCUAGGCUUCUUGAAGUCUUCCUUGCACAAAUAUAGCUUAGGAGUCGAUCAGGGAUGUGGACAGAGAUUUUUUAUAAAAUAUUGGGCUCCAAAUUAUGGCUCUCUCUUUAUAUAGGUUUUUUGUUGUUGUUUUGUUUUGCUUUUCAACUGUGGUUUUACCCCAAUGUCUGUCCACUCAUCCUUUAAGCCAGUAAGACUGAGCUUACUCUGGAAAAUUUUUGAAAAAGUUAGGAUAUUCACCUUCACCGUUCCUUUAUUGCACUGUAGACUGACAUGGAGUGUCUGCUUACCUUUAAGUGUUUGCCAAUGCCUUCUAGUACUUGUUAUUUAUUCUUUGUCCAGAGGUUUUGGUUACUAUCUGAGGGAGGAUUGGCUCAAUAGGAGUUACUCCUACAUUUUAAAAAUCUGGGCACCUUUCCUUAAAAUUGAUAAUGAAGUGAAUGUAUUGAUAAAAUUUGUAACAUUUAAACAUCUUCCACUAACUAA
rnacentral:lncRNA from 10 species